GAGAGAUAGAUGGUAAAGAAAAAACAUAUGCAGUGGUUAGAGAGCCAAGUUUCGAUUAAGAGACAUGGAAGACAUUGUAAAUGGAGGCUUCCACGGGGAAAUUCAACUUGUAAGCAACCUUACCAAUCUUGUCCAACGCCUGAUGAGGUCCAUAAUACUUAGGUUAGAGUUUUUGAUGUAGAGUUUGAAGGAAAGUCUACUGAUAUUGUUGCAAUUUUAGAUAUACCCAGUCCCCCACCUCGAACUGCCUGUCUGUUCUGUAUUUAUCAACUUGCUCUUUCAUGCAAUGAGAAGCCCGCUGC
rnacentral:lncRNA from 1 species